rnacentral:lncRNA from 1 species
UUUUUUUAUCAAACAUAAACUUCAUUAAUAGAAGAAAAUGUUACAUGAGAUGAGAUAAACUUAAAGAAAAGCUGCUAGUAGGCCAAGUGGACCAAGAAGCUCAAGGUACAUGAUGCCCAAUUAGACUAUGUUGACACAAGUCGUCUUCGCCACAACCACCAUAUACCUCACCAAUCCUCCGUUCAGAUCAGUUGAUAUGCGGUCAGCACCAACAAAACAUAAGGGCCAAAAGACAAACCACAUAUGCAAAUAAGUCCUAAUUGAAGAACAUAUCUAAUCCCCAAUUUCACAACAACAAAGAUGCACAAAGAAUACACAAAUUUGCCUUUAAAAUACUCAGCAAAAGAAAGCAGCCAGCACCAGCAACCAUAUCAACCACUCAAGGACCAGCAAGGGAAAACUGAUAAUGCCAACCAAACAAGAAGACAAAACACUAUCAGAACCGUUGAAGGAGGUGGUGCAGAUACCUAAAUUAGCUGCACAGCGGUUUUGCACACAUUCAUCUAAGUGAACGACGACUCGCUCUCGAGGUGGGUAGCAAACACAAUGGCUAGAAGAGGCUACUCAAUCGAAAGCAGGUAUCCAACAAACAAAUGGAGGACUUGUGGGCUGAGGAGUGGGAGGGUAUAGGAGAGCAUUCGUGUGAUGCACAGAGGAAGGGGAUCUAAGUAGUUGUUACGGUUAGGGAUUAUAUAUAAUUUUGGGGCUAACUUAAAUCUGGUGCAACAACAAUGCACCCAAUCUGAGACCGAGCUCAGGCCCACUAACACCGGAAUUCGAGGAUUGAGGCGAGCUAUCAUCUUCCGAGAGAUAGGGUAAGCUACCAGCCUACCAUCAGUGAGUGAUGGAGCAAAACGGCAGGGGAGAGAGAAGGGAGGCGUUUUUCUCUUAUUGGAGGCAUCUAUACUUACAUAUUCUACUAAGUUUGGGAAAACAGCAUCCACUUUUUCCCCAUCGAAUAUUAACAAUAUAGAGGAAGAAAAGGAAUAAUAUAUAAAUAUGUACAUAGUAUUCAUAUACAACAACUCGGGUCCGCCCAAUGCCCCUUGAAGAGAUUGAUGCUAAAGGUUGUCUAAAGGUGUUCAUUCGUUAGUAACGGUGGAUGAUGGAUGUAGUCGCUCCAAUAAAUCUCUUGCAUAGUCAAUGGGAAAUUUAGUCCAAUGGCGAGCGUUGGAAGCGUAAUGGGUAGGAGAAGGCUGGAAACUCAAAAUUCGAAACCCUCCUCUUUGUAAGCGAAGGACAAAGAAUAUCGAGAGCUAAACGGAUUUAUACAUGUUGUCUUUUAACGCUAAAUUGGAGAUUUCAUUUAUGUUUUCAUUGUUUUCAAUCUGAGGUAUAACCACAUACGAGUUUUCUUUAAACUAUUUUAUUUUAAUUUUUAGAAAAAAAUAAUUUCCUAGUUAAUAGUAAGUUUCAAUGUGUUUAAAUAAUUAAAGUUCAAAAUUAUGUAAUUGAUAUUAGUUAAGUAAUUCAAAAUUUUUUUUUUACCUCAAAAGGCGAAAGAAGCAUAAAAAUUAUCACUUCAAAAGUUAUACAAAACAUGUGAAAAGAUAGCACAUACAUCAACAAAAAAUAAAUAAAAUAAAUGGAUCCAUUGAUUGGUAACUCUUAAAGAAAACAAAUCAAAAUGAUUUAAAAACUUUGAGUUUCAAUGAUAAGAAUAAAAUAAAAGGUAAAAUAAAUAAUAUCAAGUUUGACAUUUUAAUAUAAAAAUAUAAUUUUUCGUUAUAGUGAACAGUACCACAAAUUUUUCGUUAAAACUUUCAACUUUUAAUUACAAGAUGGUAGCUAGCUAGCAGCCUAGCACUGCAAAGACAUACAUACAGAAGGAACCGGGUUCGGACCCAAAUGAACUGAGUCCAAUGAUCAAAUAAUUCAGACCAUUGAAAUUUAAUUCAACCGCUAUAAUUAUUAUUAACUUUAAAGGACCUUCUAUUUGUAACCAUUAGAUCAAAUUUCUAAUUUUAAUGGUCUGGAUUAUUCGAUCCUUCGACUUAAAUUUUUUGGAUGCAGAGAGGAUCCGGUUCCCAUACAGAAAAAGGGAAGAAAAGAUAGAUCGGGAGCCAGCUGUCUAGUUCCUGGCGGGCACUUGGGACAUAAAAUCGAAAUUAAACAUAAAUCAACUUCGAUCGCACCGAAUGAUUCAGUUUUUCUAAUUUAACGGGUUUAAUUUGAAACGAACCGCAAGCUAAAUAAAUUUAAUUUCUCUUCUUAAUAUUUGAAACCGAUUCUAAACCGGACAACAUGAUAUACAAAAUAUUUAAUUUAGUUAGCAAAUUAAAUGUUGGCGUAUUGGUUAUUUGGUGAAGGUCAUACAUGGAUUUAAAUUUGGUGAAGGUCAACAUAAUUUACUACGGUUUCCACCCUCGAAUCGAACCGAACCGAACCACAAUAACCCCAACCACACUAAACUGUACCCAGCCCCGGUUCCUUUUAAGCUUUUUUUUUUUUUGGGUCGAGAUCCCGGUUCCUAUUAAGCUAAAACUAAACUGAGAAGGAAGAAGAAAUUAAAGGGGGGCGUACCUCUCGCCGCUACAGAACUCGUAGAGCCUCCCCUUGGCGGAGAAGAUGACGAGGCCCACCUCCACCCCGCAGAGCACGGACAGCUCACGUGCCUUCUUGAUCAGUCCGCUUCUCCGCUUGGA